AUGCUCGUGUGUGUGUGUGUGUGUGUGUGUGUGUUUCACUUUCUCACCUUUCAAAUAAACUAUAUCACUUUGUGCACCCUAUUGGUGCCAGCACUUAGUGUGUUUGCCCUUGUGAAUGACAAGAGCCCCGGUGUAAAAAAAUUUAAUGCCCCUCCAAUCUACCUCGUUGAAAACGGGCUUGCUAGUGGUUUGUUGUGUCCCAGGGACACGUUACCCAUCCAGAACUGGGCAUCAGGAAGCCCCAGGAGCCAUCGCCGGAGGACCCUGCUGUGGAGGGUGGCUCCAGGGCAUUUGGUGGGCUCCCCUAAGUUAAUGGCGGUGGAAGCCCCCUCCAGCUCCACCCAGAGAUGUAAAUCACCCAUCUGGGAAAACCUCUUGGACCACAGAAAACGCACCCCGAGGCCAUACUGCAGUCACAACUAUGCUUCUUGGAUUGUAGACCUUCUGCCUGCUGCCCCCGGGGAAGCCUAUGUCAACAGUCACCCUAAGAGACUGCUGCAGCACCCCUCAGAUACGGACCCGUGGCAGCCCCUACCCGCCCUCCUUACUCAUCGCUUCCCAGCGGUGUGUGCAGCCAGCCCAGUUCUGCUCCCUCUAUGUGCUCCGGUACAUUCUGUCAGCACCAGGGAUGCUGGCCUGUGGCUCCCUCCCCAGGACACCCGGGGCAGCCUCUCUCCUCCCAGGGUAAGGCAGCCUGCAAGCAUCUUCAUGCAAGGAACCCCAAGCCACCUCAUCAGUUUUCCAGACAAGGUUCCCCCACCCCUGGGGAGCUGGCAGCUGGGACUUGUUUGGCUCAGAAACGUGGCUUCCCGGAACAAGAGACAACAUGGCGCUGGGCCAGGCCGGCUGCCUCCAUCUUGUUGGGGAGUUCUUCCGGGCUCCGCAAUCUGGGAUGGAUGGGCCGCGCUGCCCUGGAACCUGCCACACAUUUUCCACCCUGCACUUGCCAGAGAGCACGGAGCACGUGGGAGCCUCGCACCCGGGGUCGUGCAUCUAUCCUAUCGGAGCCGUCUAGGGGAGCAUAAGGAAUUCACGAGGCGCUAG
rnacentral:lncRNA from 1 species